UGCAAAAGGCCUGUGCAAAGUUCGCAUGA
rnacentral:piRNA from 1 species